CCUACGGGCGGCAGCAGUGGGGAAUAUUGGACAAUGGGCGAAAGCCUGAUCCAGCCAUGCCGCGUGUGUGAAGAAGGCCUUCGGGUUGUAAAGCACUUUCAGUGGGGAAGAAAGCCUUGGGGCUAAUACCCUCGAGGAAGGACAUCACCCACAGAAGAAGCACCGGCUAACUCCGUGCCAGCAGCCGCGGUAAUACGGAGGGUGUGAGCGUUAAUCGGAAUUACUGGGCGUAAAGCGCGCGUAGGCGGUCUGAUAAGCCGGUUGUGAAAGCCCCGGGCUCAACCUGGGAACGGCAUCCGGAACUGUCAGGCUAGAGUGCAGGAGAGGAAGGUAGAAUUCCCGGUGUAGCGGUGAAAUGCGUAGAGAUCGGGAGGAAUACCAGUGGCGAAGGCGGCCUUCUGGACUGACACUGACGCUGAGGUGCGAAAGCGUGGGUAGCAAACAGGAUUAGAUACCCUUGUAGUC
rnacentral:rRNA from 1 species